rnacentral:rRNA from 1 species
CCUACGGGAGACAGCAGUGAGGAAUAUUGGUCAAUGGACGAGAGUCUGAACCAGCCAAGUAGCGUGAAGGAUGACUGCCCUAUGGGUUGUAAACUUCUUUUAUAUGGGAAUAAAAUGUUCCACGUGUGGGAGUUUGUAUGUACCAUAUGAUUCAGGAUCGGCUAACUCCGUGCCAGCAGCCGCGGUAAUACGGAGGAUCCGAGCGUUAUCCGGAUUUAUUGGGUUUAAAGGGAGCGUAGGUGGAUUGUUAAGUCUGUCGUGAAAGUUUGCGGCUCAACCGUGAAAUUGCAGUGGAAACUGGCAGUCUUGAGUACAGUAGAGGUGAGCGGAAUUCGUGGUGUAGCGGUGAAAUGCUUAGAUAUCACGAAGAACUCCGGUUGCGAAGGCAGUUCACUGGACUGCAACUGACACUGAGGCUCGAAAGUGUGGGUAUCAAACAGGAUUAGAUACCCUAGUAGUC